rnacentral:lncRNA from 1 species
UCUAUAUGGGGUCUAUGGGGGGGAUAUGGGGCUCUAUGGGGGGGAUAUGGGGCUCUAUGGGGUCUAUGGGGUCUAUGGGGUCUUAUGGGGUCUUUAGGGUCUUUUGGGAUUUGGGGUCUCCAUAGGCACAGCUGGAUCCUUAUGGGGUCUAUGGGGUCUUAUGGGGUCUUUAGGGUCUGGAUUUGGGGUCUCCAUCCCCCCAUCAGCCCCAUUGAAGCCUUUUGGGGUCCCUAUGGGGCGCCCCAUAGACUCAAUGUCCUCGUCCCCAUCCGUAUCGCUGUCGAUCCUAAAUAAAUCCCCUAUAUCCUUAUGGCCGCCCCCUAUAAACCCAGGACCCCUAUAGGGUGGGUUUGGGGUCUGCUGAUGCUUAUGGGGCCGCCCCAUAGACCCCAUAUCCCCCUCAUUAUCCAACUCUUGGCCCUUAUGGGGUCUCUCAGCCCCUAUAUCAUCCCCCUCCGUCACCCCAAAUCCAUUGCUGGGCUCUUUAGGGUCCCUUAUAGGGUCCUUUAUAGGGUCCCUUAUAGGGUCUCCUAUAGGGUCCUUUAUAGGGUCCAAUAUAGGGUCCAUUAUAGGGUCCCUUAUUGGAUCCAAUAUAGGGUCCCUUAUAGGGUCUCCUAUAGGGUCCAUUAUAGGGUCCUUUAUAGGGUCCUUUAUAGGGUCCUUUAUAGGGUCCCUUAUAGGGUCACUUAUGGGGUCUCUUAUGGGGUCCCUUAUAGGAUCCAUUAUAGGGUCCCCUAUAUGUGGGUCUGGGGUCAAUGGGGCCCCCUUAUGGCUCCUAUGGGGACGGUUUUGGGGUCGAUUAAUGGGAUUUUUGGGGUCAAAAAGGAGCUUUUUGGGGCCUCCCAGGUUUGGGGUCACAUCGGCUUCAUCCACGUCACUGUAUGGGAUACAAUGGGGUUAUAGGGUCAGCCCCAUAACUAAUGGGGUUAUAUGGGGCUCCAUAUGGGGGUCAGCCCCAUAACUAAUGGGGUUAUAGGGGGUUCCAUAUGGGGUCAGCNGUUAUAUGGGGCUCCAUAUGGGGGUCAGCCCCAUAACUAAUGGGGUUAUAGGGGGUUCCAUAUGGGGUCAGCCCCAUAACUAAUGGGGUUAUAUGGGGCUCCAUAUGGGGUCAGCCCCAUAACUAAUGGGGUUAUAGGGGGCCCUAUAUGGGGCCAAGGGGGUCAGCCCCAUAACUAAUGGGGUUAUAUGGGGCUCCAUAUGGGGUCAGCCCCAUAACUAAUGGGGUUAUAGGGGUCUCUAUAUGGGGUCAGCCCCAUAACUAAUGAGGUUAUAGGGGGCUCUAUAUGGG